UACCUGGUUGAUCCUGCCAGUAGUCAUAUGCUUGUCUCAAAGAUUAAGCCAUGCAAGUCUAAGUACGAGCUUUUGUACAGUGAAACUGCGAAUGGCUCAUUAAAUCAGUUAUGGUUCAUUUGAUCGUACAGUUUACUUGGAUAACUGUGGUAAUUCUAGAGCUAAUACAUGCGAGAAGCGCCGACCUCGCGGGAGGCGUGCAUUUAUCAGACCAAAAACCGGCCGCGUCUUCGGGCGCGUUCGCCUUGGUGACUCUGGAUAACUUUGCGGAUCGCACGGUCUAGCACCGGCGACGGAUCAUUCAAGUGUCUGCCCUAUCAACUUUCGUCGGUACGGUAUUUGCCUACCGAGGUUCUUACGGGUGACGGGGAAUCAGGGUUCGAUUCCGGAGAGGGAGCCUGAGAAACGGCUACCACAUCCAAGGAAGGCAGCAGGCGCGCAAAUUACCCAUUCCCGACGCGGGGAGGUAGUGACGAAAAAUAACAAUGCAGGACUCGUUCGAGGCCCUGUAAUUGGAAUGAGUACACUUUAAAAGCUUUAACGAGUAU
rnacentral:ncRNA from 1 species